UACGUAGGGGGCUAGCGUUGUCCGGAUUUAUUGGGCGUAAAGAGCGUGUAGGCGGCUAGAUAGGUCCGUUGUGAAAACUCGAGGCUCAACCUCGAGACGUCGAUGGAAACCAUCUGGCUAGAGUCCGGAAGAGGAGAGUGGAAUUCCUGGUGUAGCGGUGAAAUGCGCAGAUAUCAGGAAGAACACCCGUGGCGAAGGCGGCUCUCUGGUACGUGACUGACGCUGAGACGCGAAAGCGUGGGGAGCGAACAGG
rnacentral:rRNA from 1 species